rnacentral:rRNA from 1 species
AUGGCAGUCUCGCUCCCGGACGACCUCCUUCUUGAGAUCCUCCUCCGCAUCAACGACGAAGCUUCUCUCUUCCGCUCAGCCACAGUGUGCAACAGGUGGCGCCGUCUCGUCACCGACCGCUCCUUCCUCCGGCGCCGCUGGCCGGACUACUCCCCGUCGUCUUUCCUUGGCUUCUUCGCUCAAGGAAAUCGACACGAGGAACUACUGGACGCAGGGUCUUUGCCGGGCCCGGAGCCGUGCUUCAUCCCAGCACGGCCAUCCGCUUUGGGCGCUUGCCGCCGCUCCUUGGGCUCCUUUGUGACCCCUGCCCCCGCAGGCCUCUUGGACGGCGCGUUGCCGCUCGUCUCGCGCCGCGGCCUUGUUCUUGUGCGCCUUGAAGCACGCGACACCGCCGGCUAUCCAGACGACAAGACCGUCUUUCAAUUGGGCGUCUGCGACCUGCACGCCGCCACAUGUCUCAUGCUCCCUCCUCUAAAAGUCAGCCCAAACUUCUACUGCUACGACUGUAACGGCUAUGCCAUUCUGACCGGUGUAGAUUGUUGUUCCAAAGAUGAGCUGACACCCACGGUGCUGCCGAGCAACCCUUUGUCUUUCUUCAAAGUCGUCGUCAUCGGCUAUAGCAAUGACGACUUGAAGUACAAUCUUCACACGUUCUCUUCCGGCAAAUCGUGUUGGGACGAACGUACCAAUUGCUUCGACGGCGAUGUGCAGUCGUACGACUAUGGGUCGUUCAGCGAUGCCGUUGUGCGCAAUGGCUGGGCGCACUGGUUAUUUGAUAAUUAUGGAGAAGGGUGCCUUCAAGUCGUUAAUCUGGAUGCUAGGACCGGCCAUAUCUCCUUGACGAAGCUCCCAUUUGAACCGAACUGCCAACCCACUAGUCCUUCAUGCCUUACUUUAGGCACCAAUGGGGUGUUAUCACUGCUAUGGAUUCAAAGGGAAGGUCCCCAACUAGAGAUCUGGGAGCAACGCGAGGACCAAGGAAACAUGAGCAGCGCUUCAGAAUGGAUGUGCACCCGAACAAUCAUGCUAAAACAACUCGAAAAGGAGAAUGGAACAAGAGACCUAAUUGGAUUGAGAGAGAAGUGCGGCGCACUGAUCAUCAGCGACAACUAUCAACAAAUUUACACUACCGAUCUCAAAACCGGGAUGAUGGAGAAGAUAGUGGAUUGGCCUUCCAGGCGCUCCAUGUGCCACUGGGAUUCCAUGCCCCUGGAGAUUGAUUGGCCCACGAUCUUCGUUUCUGGGCUUACCAAAUAA